rnacentral:rRNA from 1 species
CGGAACGGGUGAGUAACGCGUGAGGAAUGCCUCAAAGAGGGGGACAACAGUUGGAAACGACUGCUAAUACCGCAUAAGCCCACGGCUCGGCAUCGAGCAGAGGGAAAAGGAGCAAUCCGCUUUGAGAUGGCCUCGCGUCCGAUUAGCUAGUUGGUGAGGUAACGGCCCACCAAGGCGACGAUCGGUAGCCGGACUGGGAGGUUGAACGGCCACAUUGGGACUGAGACACGGCCCAG